rnacentral:lncRNA from 9 species
ACAGAAAUGAUGGGAAAACUGAAAUCAACUGUCAGGAAGAUGCAAUUGAUCAGAAUCUGUUAAUAAACGAAGUCAACUGCUCUUCUUUCUGUUACAGGAUAUCAUCAUCAUCAUCAUCAUUUAACCUCUGAAGGAAAUGAGGGACAAUUUCCAUAUUUUCUAUUUCUUCAUCCCUACUUGAUUUUCAUGAAUUUCUUCCUAAAGAAAUGAGAGAAUAGGCAUAAAAGAAACAGUUUAAACAAAGAAUCAGCAUAGGGAAAGAUGAAAAAGCCAUGGAGAAAAAUCUGACAGGAACUGCUGUUAAAAAGUGUCUAAGCUGUCAGAGCUGACAGCGUUGAGAAUCCCUGUGGAGUGCUGUAUCCUCAGGAAUGUCUAAUAAAGGUGAUGCUGUUGGGCUUAUCAAAAUUGUUGGGCUUUUCCCUUGGCAGUAAGCCAAGUUAAUGCACCUUUUUACACUGUGUAUUAAC